rnacentral:rRNA from 1 species
CCAUGCAUGUCUAAGUACAUGCCGUAUUAAGGCGAAACCGCGAAUGGCUCAUUAAAUCAGUUAUGGUUCCUUGGAUCGUACCUUACUACUUGGAUAACUGUGGCAAUUCUAGAGCUAAUACAUGCAGCAGAGCUCCGACCUUCGGGGACGAGCGCUUUUAUUAGACCAAAACCAAUCGGACCUCGUGUCCGUUCUGUGUGGUGACUCUGUAUAACUUUGGGCUGAUCGCACGGGCCUGUCCCGGCGACGUAUCUUUCAAGUGUCUGCCUUAUCAACUUUCGAUGGUAGGUUACGCGCCUACCAUGGUCGUAACGGGUAACGGGGAAUCAGGGUUCGAUUCCGGAGAGGGAGCCUGAGAAACGGCUACCACAUCCAAGGAAGGCAGCAGGCGCGCAAAUUACCCACUCCCGGAACGGGGAGGUAGUGACGAAAAAUAACAAUACGGGACUCUUUUGAGACCCCGUAAUUGGAAUGAGUACACUCUAAAUCCUUUAACGAGGAUCCAUUGGAGGGCAAGUCUGGUGCCAGCAGCCGCGGUAAUUCCAGCUCCAAUAGCGUAUAUUAAAGUUGUUGCGGUUAAAAAGCUCGUAGUUGGAUCUCAGUUCCAGACAGGUGGUCCGCCUACCGGUGGUUACUGCCCGUUCUGAACAGCCAGCCGGUUUCUCUUGAUGAUCUUCACCGGUUGUCUUGGGUGACCGGCAAGUUUACUUUGAAAAAAUUAGAGUGCUCAAAGCAGGCGUGACGCCUGAAUAAUGGUGCAUGGAAUAAUGGAAUAGGACCUCGGUUCUAUUUUGUUGGUUUUCGGAACACGAGGUAAUGAUUAAGAGGGACAGACGGGGGCAUUCGUAUUGCGACGCUAGAGGUGAAAUUCUUGGACCGUCGCAAGACGAACUACUGCGAAAGCAUUUGCCAAGAAUGUUUCCAUUAAUCAAGAACGAAAGUUAGAGGUUCGAAGGCGAUCAGAUACCGCCCUAGUUCUAACCAUAAACGAUGCCAGCCAGCGAUCCGGCUGUGUUCCUCAAAUGACACGCCGGGCAGCUUCCGGGAAACCAAAGCUUUUGGGUUCCGGGGGAAGUAUGGUUGCAAAGCUGAAACUUAAAGGAAUUGACGGAAGGGCACCACCAGGAUUGGAGCCUGCGGCUUAAUUUGACUCAACACGGGACAACUUACCAGGUCCGGACAUAGGAAGGAUUGACAGAUUAAGAGCUCUUUCUUGAUUCUAUGGGGUGUGGUGCAUGGCCGUUCU